rnacentral:lncRNA from 1 species
GAACAUCGCUGCUAUCUUAAAGCUUGAUUUUCGACAAUUUCAAGCUCACUAGUGCCAUCUCCAACCUAUAGAUCAAUUUCCCUGCCUCCUUUUGUAAUGUCUUUAGAUUUAGAACUUUAUGUGUCAAUUUUGAUACCUUGAAUUGUCAGGUAACUAUGAUUUUAGCAUUUUUUCAAUUUAAAUUUCUAUUUGGUGGUACUAAUAGAGUUUUGAUGGUA